rnacentral:lncRNA from 10 species
GCUAUUUUGGCUUUAUAUUCAAUAUUUAUGUUACUGCAAUUCUCUCUGAACUUUUUAGUAAUUUAAAUGUUUACUACCAAUUGUUUUAUAUGGUAACUGUCUCAUGGUCAAAUUCUUGAUCUAAAAGCCAGAAGAGAAAGUGAGGGGAAGGGAGCAUUUUGGAAUAUAUACAGUAAUAGAAGAGUCUGCUUGAUUUCUGUAUUCCAGCAGGAGAGAUGAGAGUCAGCCAGGACUGCGGAGAGAUCAUCGCCAGUGGAUGCUUUCUCUGACCUUUCCUUCCUGCAUGCUGUUGGGAAGACUGGCCCCAAAUCCAACGGGAAGGAUAUCAGAGACCACCGAGUUUGGGGCACAGAGAAACUCACAAAAAUGUGGGAGAAGCAGAAAUAGCUACACCAUACCCGUUUUGGAAGAGGCUACAUCUACAUUCAAGGGAAGUUUAUGCCCCAUUCCCCUUGAACUGUCCAUGUAAAGCGCUUGUCAAAUGAUCGAUGCUCCAUAUAAACAUGAGCUAUUUUCCUUUUAUAAGUUUGUUUGCCCAGACAGGUUUGGAAGGUAUGGAAGAUCUAUUAGGAAAUCCCAGAAAUGCAGCUCUGCAUUUCAUGGUGUGUGGGAAUGCUGGGGGAGGGGAAGACCUAGAAGUGUCCCUGUAGGUUGAGAGUUCCAUGCACCUUGGUCUGCCCUUGGCUGUCCCAGUUUAUGUCUAUUGUCUCAGCAAAAUUAUUAACAGAGGUCCCUGUCACCCUCAAAAGUAUUCUCAUGCAGACAAUAAUUUCAUGAUCACUCUACAGGUGGCUCAUGUGAGUCCAACUUUCUGUUUCCUUUCAUACACGUGAGAAAUAAUUUAAAUAUAGAGAGAUUAAAAAUGGAAUCAGUAAGAUAUUCAAAUGCUUGAGAACAAGAAUUUCAAACCCAAGAAAUCAGGAAUAAAUAAAAACACACAUAAAAAAUAAAUACCAUAGUAUAGGAUAUUUCUAUAUUAGACUUGUUAAAUGUAGACACUUGAGAAGUUAAAAGAUCUAUCCUAAACCAACAGUUCAAACUAAGUAUUUUUAAGGUAUAACAUUAAAACAUGUAAUAAUAAAUCUUAAAGGACAAAAUAGAGAGCCUAAAUAUUUAAAUAGAUAAAUUGCACAAUAGGAUGAAUAUGAAUAGAAAACAAAAGAAUAAAAAUAGAGUGAGAAAAUCUCAUUAAAGCAAUGCACAGCUGUAGGUAAUACACACAUAUAUAUGUUUACAUUUGUAAUAUAUGUAUAGAUACAUAAUAUUUAUCUCCUUAGCAAAACAAAUAAACCAAAAUCUAAAAGAGAAAUGGGAAAAAAUGAAAAUUAGGCCUUAGCUAGAAGUCUAUGAAUAGCAACAACUCUUAAAUUCUGUGGUCAAAUGGUCUUCUCACAGCGCGGUGCCCACGCAAUGUCUGUGGCAGGGGGAGAAGAGGUGUGAGGGCACCUGGAAAAUGUACCUUUCCUUCCUCUCCCAAAUCACAUCAAAUCCCCUAAAACAAACACUUCUCAUAGCAAUAUUGGUGAGACAUUGCACGCAUAUUCGUACAUGUGCCAUUUAGAUUUCCAAGUGCAUAAGCAUUCUAUGUUAUCAUUUUUUACGUUUCUGAAAAAAACCUUCCUUAAAGAAGUUGAUUAAUGAAACUAUCCCAAUCCCAAACACUAUUAAUAGCACAGGGUGUUGUUUAGAAAGAUGAUGAAAUUAACACACAAAGAACAGCUACUCAGUACAAAAAUCAGCCUAGCACCAGACAGGAUCUAUGGUAUUACUCUUUUUAAAAAUCAUAUGCAGGAAGUUUCGUCAAACAAGAACUGUAAAAAAUGAGAGCAAUUUGAUUAACUAAUUACAAUGCUUCCAUCAAUCAAAGUGGCUCCACUAAGGUCAUAUACAACUUGGUUGCAUUUAAGGAGAAAGGUCUGCAGUUACACAUUUUCUCUUGUUUACUAACGUAAAAGACUUCAGGUUUUUUAUUAACCCAGGCAGUCGUUGGCAUGAGAGAUUAGUUUUGCAAUUUGAUGAGGUACAUUCCACAGCACGUUAAAUUAGAAUCCCAGAUACUAAAGCCCCAAAUCUAAUUUUCACCCUGGUUUAUAAGGUUCUCUUGAAAAUUCUAUUAUCCUAAUGCAUGCCUCUUAUUCUCUAACUCCUAUAAAAGACCAUGCCAAUUAUAAAGUCAAAAAUAUUCUGAAUUGCCACUGUGGAAUAUUUAAAUUUUUAUAUUUACUGGAUCAUUGAGCUUAGGUACAAAGCUCCAAUCUAUUUACCUAAAAUUGCAGUUCUUAUAAAUUGUAGCAAAAUUCUGGAUCUAACUAUGAAUUCUGUCAAAUAAGGAUUUGAUUGAGCCACUCAAUUUGCCUAAAUAAUAACUACACUUGCUUGUUCUUGGGCAGGUCCUUAAAAAACUAAUCAGUAUAUGGUUCAGAAAGCCAGAGGAUGGAGGGAAAUGGAGAAACAGGGAAGGCAAGAUAACAGAAGGUGAAGGAUGCUGCUUGAUUUCAUUGCACCAGUGUUGACAACAUGACUUUCACUUAUGAAACUGAGCUACGUACGGAUGAGAGUGUGAGCAUUUCCUGUAACUUUCCCCAGGACACUCUUUGCCCAGAUCACCAAAGUGCUUGCUCCCUCAUCUUCUAAGAUAUUUGCUCACGCAUCAAUGUCUCAGGUCUUCCCUGAUCAUCCUAUUUAAACAUCUGUCUGUCUAGAGCCCCCACCUACACCCCACAUCUUUCUUUCCCUGCUUCAUUUGUCUCCAGAGCACUUUUCAACAUCUAACAUUUAUUUUAAUUAUGUAUCUUGUUUACCAUGUAUUUCCUCUUAUUAAAAUGGAAGCCCAGAAAAGCAGAGAUAACCUCGAUUCUAAAUUUCUAGAUUGUGAUUACCUUGUUUGGUUAAUAGGACAUGUUGCUUGAUGUUGCUAAUUAUUGAGCUUUAUGAAAAUGCUAUCAUUCUGUUUGUUGUCUUGUGAGCCUGGCUUUUUAUGCUCAACAUUAUGCUUUUGAGAUUCAGCUUUGUUGAUGGCUGAAGCUAUAGUACAUUCAUUACUUUUCUACUUUUCCAUUCUCUUGUCAACAGCAAUUUUGGUCUUUCCAGUUUUUUGCAAAGCAAGCAGUUCUAUAAUGAAAAAUCUUACAUAUGUCUGCUGGUACACAUGUGAAAGAGUUUUUCUAUGGGUAUAUCCAGGAGUGGAAUUUCUGGUUGCAGGGUAGACAGGUCUUCUUAUUUCCCAAGUGGGCUCUACCAAUUUGAGCUACACAGUAGUAUUUAAAAAGUUUCUGUGGGUACACUGUUUGUCCAAACUUAAUAUUUUCCAGCUUUCCAAUUUUGGUCAAUCUGAUGAAUGUAAUGUGAUAUGUCACUCUGGAUUUAAAAAGCAUUUCUCUAAUUAUUAAUGUAAUCAAGCAUCCUUUCAUAUUUAGUGACCAUUGGGUGUUUUCUGUUCUGUGAAAUUCCUAUUUUUGUGAAAUAUUGUUCAUGUCUUUUUUGCCUGUUCUUCUAUUUAGUUGUCUUUUCCUUACUGAUUUUAGGAGUUCUUUCUAAAUGCUGUCUAUUAAUAUUUUAUCUGUUGUACGUACACAAACAUGUUCUCCUAGUUUGUGGCUUAAUUAUUAUCCUUUCAUCUUUUUCCCCCCUCUCUUCCUUGUCAUACUUUCCCCUGGAAUAUCUAUGGAUUUGGAACAGGAGGAGAACCCAUUCAUGUCAACUUGAUGCGUCACAUUAUGCAGAAAUUCCCAAUAGACACUUCCUUCCUCUUAAAUUUUCCCAUUCCUAGCAUUUUUGAUAGCCUUUCCUAGAUAACUUUUCAAAAACAAAAAAACAAAUUGCUAACCCCUCUGGUGUGCAAAUUAUUCUAUUUCAUUAUUAAAUUGGGGAGUAAAAUAAUUAUUUUUAUUUCUUCCUUUGAGCACCAUUUGGAGUUAAACCAAUUUCCAGUAUUCCUCCAUAACCUUAACUAACUGAACACAAUACAUAAUUUAUAGGUAAUUUGACAGCUGCUAUAAUGCUUAGCACAUUUUAAUGCCAUUUGUUUCUUGGAAUUCUUUGCAUAAAUGAUACUCUAAGAGUCAAAGCUUUCCUUUUGUUCUUAAUUUUUCCUUCCUCUAAGCUUUUAAUUUUGCAUGAAAUUUGACAUUAAAUCUAUAAAGAUUCUUGUUCCAAGAUUAGAUCUAGAUUCUUGGUCAAUGAUAACAUUUGUAAGAACAGGGACUCUGUUGAUUUUGCUCAGCAAUGUGCUCCUGGUACCUAGCAUCUUAUCUGGCACCUAAUAGCUUGCCCAAUAUAUACUUGACUAAUGAUGUAGGUAAAGUAUACAGCACAAAAUUGUCUUUAAGAAUCUUAAAUAUUUACACUCUAGGGACUAAUAUGUCUGUCUCUAGAGAUAUAUUCUAGGAAUGAAAUCAAUCUGAUCAGUGCAGACAUAUUUACCUACAAAGAUGUUCAUGUGAUUGUUAUUUAUAAUAAAGUUUGGAAACGGUGAAUGUUAAAUGAUCAACAAUAAUGAAUUUGUUUAAAUAAUUAUGGAACAUCUACAUAAUAGACUGUCAUAAAGUCAUUAAAACUCACAUUUUCAAAGAAAAUUAGAAACGUAUACAAAACAGUGCUAAGUGAAUAAAACAACAUAGAACUGUAUAUUUAGUAUGAUACUAUUUUGGC